rfam:Oryza rufipogon genomic scaffold, chr04
AAUAAGUACAGUUUUAAUACCGUUCAUGUCCAACGUUUGACCGUUUGUCUUAUUUGAAAAAAAAUUAUGAUUAAUAUUUUUAUUGUUAUUAGAUAAUAAAACAUCAAUAGCACUUUAUGUGUGACUAAUUUUUAAAAUAUUUUUCUUAAAUUUUUCAUAUAAAACGGAUGAUCAAAACGCUGGACACGGAUAGAUAUAGCUGCACUUAUU